rnacentral:lncRNA from 1 species
AGCUUAGUUUUAUAAAAAAAAAAAGAAGGGAAAGAUGGUCAAUUUCUUGAUAAUGCCUAUUAAUUUGUUAUAACUAUGGUUGGACAAUGAUCACAUUAGCAUAUUCAUAAUGUAUGCUUUUGAAACAAAGUGAUCUGAUAUCCAUUGUCUGCAAUCUGUCUCACAAUAAUGUCUUUGGCAACUGUAUUUUUUUUUUUAUAUUAGCUUACUUUUAUAUAAAAAAGGGGAAAGAUGGUCAAUUUCUUGAUAAUGCCUAUUAAGAAUUUGUUAUAACUAUGGUUGGACAAUGAUCACAUUAGCAUAUUCAUAAUGUAUGCUUUUUGAAACAAAGUGAUCUGAUAUCCAUUGUCUGCAAUCUGUCUCACAAUAAUGUCUUUGGCAACUGUAUUUGUUUUUAUAUCAGC